UACAGAGGUCUCAAGCGUUGUUCGGAUUCAUUGGGCGUAAAGGGUGCGUAGGCGGCGCGGUAAGUCGGGUGUGAAAUCUUGGAGCUUAACUCCGAAACUGCAUUCGAUACUGCCGUGCUUGAGGACUGGAGAGGAGACUGGAAUUUACGGUGUAGCGGUGAAAUGCGCAGAUAUCAGGAGGAACACCGGUGGCGAAGGCGGGUCUCUGGGUAGUAACUGACGCUGAGGAACGAAAGCGUGGGUAGCGAACAGG
rnacentral:rRNA from 1 species